UGAGGAAUAUUGGACAAUGGGCGCAAGCCUGAUCCAGCCAUGCCGCGUGUGUGAAGAAGGUCUUCGGAUUGUAAAGCACUUUUAAGUUGGGAGGAAGGGCAGUAACCUAAUACGUUGCUGUCUUGACGUUACCGACAGAAUAAGCACCGGCUAACUCUGUGCCAGCAGCCGCGGUAAUACAGAGGGUGCAAGCGUUAAUCGGAAUUACUGGGCGUAAAGCGCGCGUAGGUGGUUUGUUAAGUUGGAUGUGAAAUCCCCGGGCUCAACCUGGGAACUGCAUUCAAAACUGACAAGCUAGAGUAUGGUAGAGGGUGGUGGAAUUUCCUGUGUAGCGGUGAAAUGCGUAGAUAUAGGAAGGAACACCUGAGGUGAAGACGGGUUGCUGGGCUGACACUGACGCUGAGGCGCGAAAGCCAGGGGAGCAAACGGGAUUAGAUACCCCCGUAGUCCCUGAGCGGGCUGGCAAGGCGCAU
rnacentral:rRNA from 1 species